rnacentral:rRNA from 1 species
CAGGAGGCAAACCGGGGGAACUGAAACAUCUAAGUACCCCGAGGAAGAGAAAUCAACCGAGAUUCCGAAAGUAGCGGCGAGCGAAAUUGGAUUAGCCCUUAAGCUUUUAAUGAUGCAGGUGAAGCCUCUGGAAAGUGGCGCAGUAAAGGGUGAUAGCCCCGUAACCGACACAUCAUCAUCAGUGAAAUCGAGUAAGGCGGGACACGUGAUAUCCUGUCUGAAUAUGGGGGGACCAUCCUCCAAGGCUAAAUACUACUGACUGACCGAUAGUGAACCAGUACCGUGAGGGAAAGGCGAAAAGAACCCCUGUGAGGGGAGUGAAAUAGAACCUGAAACCGUGUACGUACAAGCAGUAGGAGCACCUUCGUGGUGUGACUGCGUACCUUUUGUAUAAUGGGUCAGCGACUUAAUUUUAGUAGCAAGGUUAACCGUUUAGGGGAGCCGUAGGGAAACCGAGUCUUAACUGGGCGUACAGUUGCUAGGAUUAGACCCGAAACCAGGUGAUCUAGCCAUGGGCAGGUUGAAGGUUGAGUAACAUCAACUGGAGGACCGAACCGACUAAUGUUGAAAAAUUAGCGGAUGACUUGUGGCUAGGGGUGAAAGGCCAAUCAAACCUGGAGAUAGCUGGUUCUCCCCGAAAGCUAUUUAGGUAGCGCCUCGGACGAAUACUACUGGGGGUAGAGCACUGUUAAGGCUAGGGGGUCAUCCCGACUUACCAACCCUUUGCAAACUCCGAAUACCAGUAAGUACUAUCCGGGAGACACACGGCGGGUGCUAACGUCCGUCGUGGAGAGGGAAACAACCCAGACCGCCAGCUAAGGUCCCAAAGUAUAGCUAAGUGGGAAACGAUGUGGGAAGGCUCAGACAGCCAGGAUGUUGGCUUAGAAGCAGCCAUCAUUUAAAGAAAGCGUAAUAGCUCACUGGUCGAGUCGGCCUGCGCGGAAGAUGUAACGGGGCUAAGCUAUACACCGAAGCUGCGGCUACGUACCUUAGGGUAUGUGGGGUAGGGGAGCGUUCUGUAAGCCGUUGAAGGUGGUCUGUAAGGGCUGCUGGAGGUAUCAGAAGUGCGAAUGCUGACAUGAGUAACGAUAAAGGGAGUGAAAAACUCCCUCGCCGGAAGACCAAGGGGUGAAGUCAUUGAUGCCAUGCUUCCAGGAAAAGCCUCUAAGCUUCAGAUUGUAAGGAAUCGUACCCCAAACCGACACAGGUGGUCGGGUAGAGAAUACCAAGGCGCUUGAGAGAACUCGGGUGAAGGAACUAGGCAAAAUGGUACCGUAACUUCGGGAGAAGGUACGCUCUUAUCAGUGAAGUCCCUUGCGGAUGGAGCAGACGAGAGUCGCAGAUACCAGGUGGCUGCAACUGUUUAUUAAAAACACAGCACUGUGCAAAAUCGUAAGAUGACGUAUACGGUGUGACGCCUGCCCGGUGCCGGAAGGUUAAUUGAUGGGGUUAGACUUCGGUCGAAGCUCUUGAUCGAAGCCCCGGUAAACGGCGGCCGUAACUAUAACGGUCCUAAGGUAGCGAAAUUCCUUGUCGGGUAAGUUCCGACCUGCACGAAUGGCGUAAUGAUGGCCACGCUGUCUCCACCCGAGACUCAGUGAAAUUGAAAUCGCUGUGAAGAUGCAGUGUACCCGCGGCUAGACGGAAAGACCCCGUGAACCUUUACUACAGCUUGGCACUGAACAUUGAACCUACAUGUGUAGGAUAGGUGGGAGACUAUGAAAUUGCGUCGCUAGAUGUGAUGGAGUCGUCCUUGAAAUACCACCCUUGUAGUUUUGAUGUUCUAACGUUGGUCCCUGAAUCGGGAUUACGGACAGUGCCUGGUGGGUAGUUUGACUGGGGCGGUCUCCUCCCAAAGAGUAACGGAGGAGCACGAAGGUGGGCUAAACACGGUUGGACAUCGUGUGGUUAGUGCAAUGGCAUAAGCCCGCUUGACUGCGAGAAUGACAAUUCGAGCAGGUGCGAAAGCAGGUCAUAGUGAUCCGGUGGUUCUGAAUGGAAGGGCCAUCGCUCAACGGAUAAAAGGUACUCCGGGGAUAACAGGCUGAUACCGCCCAAGAGUUCAUAUCGACGGCGGUGUUUGGCACCUCGAUGUCGGCUCAUCACAUCCUGGGGCUGAAGUCGGUCCCAAGGGUAUGGCUGUUCGCCAUUUAAAGUGGUACGCGAGCUGGGUUUAGAACGUCGUGAGACAGUUCGGUCCCUAUCUGCCGUGAUAGGCAGGGUGUGUAAGUGCUGCGAGGCAUUGAGCUAACCUGUACUAAUUGCCCGUGAGGCUUAACCAUACAACACCCAAGGGGUUU